AACGAACGCUGGCGGCAGGCUUAACACAUGCAAGUCGAACGCGUGUAGCAAUACACGAGUGGCGCACGGGUGAGUAACACGUGGAUAUCUGCCUUUUGGUUCGGAAUAACUCCGGGAAACUGGAGCUAAUACCGGAUGGUUCCUACGGGAUAAAGAUUUAUCGCCAAAAGAUGAGUCCGCGCACGAUUAGCUAGUUGGUGAGGUAAUGGCUCACCAAGGCGACGAUCGUUAGCUGGUCUGAGAGGACGAUCAGCCACACUGGGACUGAGACACGGCCCAGACUCCUACGGGAGGCAGCAGUGGGGAAUAUUGGACAAUGGGGGCAACCCUGAUCCAGCCAUGCCGCGUGAGUGAUGAAGGCCUUCGGGUUGUAAAGCUCUUUUGGCGGGGACGAUGAUGACGGUACCCGCAGAAUAAGCCCCGGCUAACUUCGUGCCAGCCGCCGCAGUAA
rnacentral:rRNA from 1 species